CAAGGAGUGGUACAAAGCAGGCAGGGGCAACCAGCUUUGAAUAAUUCCAGCAGGAACUGGGUUGUAGAUGCAGUAGCUAACUGGUACCAGGUCCUUGGAUGACUUAGGGCAGAUGAUAUUUUCGCUUGGUGUGAGAGCUGCAGAAGAGGCAGGUGUUGCUGCAGAUGUGGGACUUACAAGUUUACAUGUGAAAGGCACGCUAAUUCUGAAUUAGCGUGUGUGUGUGUGUGUGUGUGUGUGUGUGUGUGUGUUAUGUAUGGGCACAUGCAUAUACAAGGACAUUUAGAGGUCAGAGGUUAGUACUCAGUGUCUUCCUCAGUCAGUCUUUUUACUUUUUGAGGCCAGUUUCUUUCACUGAACCUUGAACUGACCAUUUCAGCGAUCCACCUGUCUCCCUCAUCACGGAUCCUGGGAUCACAGAUAUGUGCCACCAUGCCCAGCAUUUUUAUAUGGGCACUGGGGUUCUAAAUUCAGGCCUUCCUGCUUUUGCAGCAGGUAAUACUUUAUUAACGGAGACAUCUCCUUAGUGUUGCAAUUCUUAUUAAUUAAUUAAUUAUUAUUAUUAUUUUUCAAGAUGGAGUUUCUCUGUGUAGCCUUGGCUGUUCUGGAACUCACUCUGUAGACCAGACUGGCCCCUAACUCAGAGAUCCAUUGGAUUCUGUCUCCUGGGUGCUGGGAUUAAAGGAAUGUGCCACCACCACCUGGCUCUAAUUUAUUUUUGUAACACCUAAUUGAGUGUAUGUGUCUGUGUGUGUGCUGUGUGUGUCUGUGUGUGUGUGUGAGUGUGUGUGUCUGAGUGUUUGUGUGUGUAUCUUGUGUGUGUGUGUCUGUGUGUAUGUGUGUGUGAGUGUGUGUGUCUGAGUGUUUGUGUGUGUAUCUUGUGUGUGUGUGUCUGUGUGUAUGUGUGUGUGAGUGUGUGUGUGUCUGUCUGUCUGUCUGUGUGCUUCUGUGUUUGUGUGUGUCUCUGUGUGUGUGUAAAUGCCAAGUAACACAGGUUAAGGUCAGAAGACAACUUGUGGAAUUGGUUUUCUCUUUCUACCACAUAGGUUCCAGGCAUCAGACUUAGGUUGUCUGUCUGUCUGUCUUGUCAGGAAUCAGCUUUACCAUGGACUGGAGAGAUGGCUCAGUGGUUAAGAGCACUGGCUGCUCUUCCAGAGGAUCCAGGUUUAAUGCCCAGCACCCACAUGGCAGCUCUGUGGCUCCAGUUCCAGGGAAUCUGACACCCUUACACAUACACACAGGCAGGCAAACACCAA
rnacentral:lncRNA from 1 species